UUUACCUUUAUUAAUAAAAUGGAAGUUUACCACCAAGCCAGUACAAUGCUCUUGAAAUUUAACCAAAUGAAAAGUUUUCCUCCUGAUACUCUAAACAGCACAAUUGUUGGGUUUCAGAUUUAUGGAACAAGAGAAGCAAAUGAAGCUAGUAGAAUCUCCCACCCAAAUUAUACUUUCAACAAUGGAUAUGAUUUGCACGCACCUGUUCGUCUGCAGUUAAGCCAGCCCCAACCUCCUAAGAAUAAUGCACCAGCAAAAUCAAUGAAGUUGGGGUAAUUCUUCCACUCAAUACUGUUUUAAAAACUACAGCAAACAAAACCAGAAAGCAAACUAUUUCAAUAUCAAUCUAAAAUAAAUUCUUUAAAAAAAAACAGAUUACAGUUGCAUUAGAAAACUGGUCAGACAAUUAUGGAUGGACGUCAUCACUACCCGAUCAACAACUUGGGCUAUGGUUAGAGCAAAAGCUUCUACCAGUGAGUUUUCA
rnacentral:lncRNA from 1 species